rnacentral:rRNA from 1 species
UAAAAAAUUUUGGCGGUAUUUUAAGCUUAUUAGAGGAAUUUGCUCUGUGAUGGACACAACGCCUUAAUCUUACUUAAUUUAGUAAUUUAAAUCAGUUUGUAUACCACUAUAUUAAUUAUAUUGAAUAGUUAUAUUUAUAAUUUUUUUAUAAAAAAAUAUAUUAAGUCAAGGUGCAUCUAAUAAUUAUGAAUGAAGUGAAUUACAUUAAUUUUAAUGUAAUUUUUUAAAAUGAAAAAAUUAAUUAGGAUUUAAUAGUAAAAUACUAAUAUUAUGAGUAUUUGAAUCAAGCUCUAAAAUAUGCACAUAUCGCCCGUCGCUCUCAGAAGUGAGAUAAGUCGUAACAAAGUAAAAAUACUGGAAAGUGUUUUUUAAAAUGAAAUCAUUCGAUGUUUCAUUUACAAUGAAAAUUUUGUUGUUUAACCAUUUUAA